AGAGUUUGAUCCUGGCUCAGAACGAACGUUGGCGGCGUGCUUAACACAUGCAAGUCGAACGAGAAAGUUCCUUCGGGGAUGAGUAAAGUGGCGCACGGGUGAGUAACGCGUAAGUAAUCUACCUUGGCAUUUGGAAUAACUACGGGAAGCUGUAGCUAAUACCGGAUACGUUCAUAGAGUUACGACUCUAUGAAGAAAGAUGACCUCUUCUUGAAAGUUAUCGUGCUAAGAGGAGCUUGCGUAUCAUUAGCUAGUUGGUAGGGUAAUGGCCUACCAAGGCAACGAUGGUUAGCGGGUCUGAGAGGAUGAUCCGCCACACUGGAACUGGAACACGGACCAGACUCCUACGGGAGGCAGCAGUGAGGAAUAUUGCGCAAUGGGGGAAACCCUGACGCAGCGACGCCGCGUGGAUGAUGAAGGCCUUAGGGUCGUAAAAUCCUGUCAGAUGGGAAGAAAUGUAUGAGGGAACAAUACCCCUUGUGCUUGACGGUACCAUCAAAGGAAGCACCGGCUAACUCCGUGCCAGCAGCCGCGGUAAUACGGAGGGUGCAAACGUUGUUCGGAAUUACUGGGCGUAAAGCGCGCGUAGGCGGUUUGUUAAGUCAGAUGUGAAAGCCCAAGGCUCAACCUUGGACGUGCAUUUGAUACUGGCAGACUUGAGUACUGGAGGGGAUGGUGGAAUUCCCGGUGUAGAGGUGAAAUUCGUAGAUAUCGGGAGGAAUACCGGUGGCGAAGGCGACCAUCUGGCCAGAUACUGACGCUGAGGUGCGAAAGCGUGGGGAGCAAACAGGAAUAGAUACCCUGGUAGU
rnacentral:rRNA from 1 species